GACGAACGCUGGCGGCGUGCUUAACACAUGCAAGUCGAACGGAAAGGCCCUGCUUGCAGGGUACUCGAGUGGCGAACGGGUGAGUGACACGUGGGUGGUCUGCCCUGCACUUCGGGAUAAGCCUGGGCAACAGGGUCUAAUACCGACUAGGAGACAUUUUUAGUGUGAUGGUUGGAAAGUUUUUUCGGGGUAGGCUGAGCUGGUGGCGUAUCGGCUUGUUGGUGGGGUAAUGGGCUACCAAGGCGGCGACGGGUAGCCGGCCUGAGAGGGUGGACGGCCACACUGGGACUGAGAGGAGGCCCAGACUCCGACGGGAGGGAGCAGUGGGGAAUAUUGAACAAUGGGCGCAAGCCUGAUGCAGCGACGCCUCGUGGCGGAUGACGGCCUUCGGGUUGUAAACUCCAUUCGCUAGGGACGAAGCUUUUUGUGACGGUACCUAGACAAGAAGCACCGGCUAACUACGUG
rnacentral:rRNA from 1 species